AUGGCGACGACCAAGUUGUCCCCGCUCUCGCCUGUGCGGCCGGACGAUAGGCGGCGCGCGCCGGCGGCGUCGGUGGUGCUGAAGGUGCAGGACAGCACGGCGGCCGAGGCGUACGAGCAGUACCUGCGGCUGCCGGAGCUGUCGAGGGUGUGGAAGACCGCGUGCUGCCCGGGCUGGCCCGACGAGGGCCUGGUCAAGCCCGCGCUGCAGGCGCUGGAGAUCACCUUCCGCUUCGUGUCCGUCGCGCUCUCCGACCCGCGGGGCUACGCCAGCCGCCGCGAGCUGGCGCGGCGGCUCGAGUCGCUCACCGCGCGGGAGGUGGAGGUGGUGGCCGCGCUCUGCGAGGGGGACCGGGGUGCGCCGCUGGCCGAGCUGAGCGCGUCCGAGGGCGUGCUCCCGCGGGAGAGGAGCGCCUCAGAGGUGUGGCAGCUGCCGGGGAGCGCCGCCGCAGUGGUGUGUCAUGCCAGUGAGGCCAGCUUGCUCCCGCGCCUCGCCGCGUGGGACAAGUCCGAGACCUUGGCGGCCAAGAUCAAGUACGCCAUCGAGAGCCAGAUGCAGGGCUGCGCCUUCUCCCUCGGCCUCGGCGAGCCCAACCUCGCCGGCAAGCCGGUGCUGGAGUACGACCGCAUCGUGCAGCCGCACGAGCUGCACGCCCUCAAGCCCAGGGUCGCGCCGGAGCCCAAGACCGGCUACCGCAACCGCGAGAACGAGGCGCUCUUCACCAUCCACCAGAUUCUUGAAUCCUGGCUGUGCGCGGCGUCUCAGCUUCUCACCCGCCUGAACAGCCGGAUCGAAGCGAAGGACUGGGAGGCGGCGGCGAACGACUGCUGGAUCCUGGAGCGGAUCUGGAAGCUGCUUGCCGACAUCGAGGACCUGCACCUGCUGAUGGACCCGGACGACUUCCUGCGGCUCAAGAGCCAGCUCGCGAUACGGUCGGCGCCGGACGGCACCGACGCGUCCUUCUGCUUCCGCUCCAGAGCGCUGCUGCACGCCGGGAACGCCACCAGAUACAUCAAGAAGCUGGUGCCGUGGGUGAUCGGCGUGGAGGUGGACCCCAAUGGCGGGCCGAGGGUGCAGGAGGCGGCCAUGAGGCUGUACCACGGCCGGAGGCGCGGCGAAGGCGAGGACGCCGGCAAGAUCGAGCUGCUGCAGGCUUUUCAGGCCGUGGAGGCGGCCGUGCGGAGGUUCUUCUUCGCGUACCGGCAGGUCGUGGCGGCCGUGUGUGGCACGGCGGAGGCGUCGGGCAACCGGGCGCUGUUUGCGCCGGCGGAGGGGACGGACCCCCUGUCGCAGAUGUUCCUCGAGCCGCCCUACUUCCCCAGCCUCGACGCCGCCAAGACGUUCUUGGCCGACUACUGGGUUCAGCACAUGGCCGCCGCCUCUGUUCCGUCAGGGCGCAGCUGA
rnacentral:rRNA from 1 species